AUACGUAGGGGGCGAGCGUUGUCCGGAAUGAUUGGGCGUAAAGGGCGCGUAGGCGGCCCGGUAAGUCUGGAGUGAAAGUCCUGUGUUUAAGAUGGGAAUUGCUUUGGAUACUGUCGGGCUUGAGUGCAGGAGAGGUAAGUGGAAUUCCCAGUGUAGCGGUGAAAUGCGUAGAGAUUGGGAGGAACACCAGUGGCGAAGGCGACUUACUGGACUGUAACUGACGCUGAGGCGCGAAAGUGUGGGGAGCAAACAGGAUUAGAUACCCUGGUAGUCCACACUGUAAACGAUGAAUGCUAGGUGUAGGGGGUAUCGACCCCUUCUGUGCCGCAGUCAACACAAUAAGCAUUCCGCCUGGGGAGUACGGCCGCAAGGUUGAAACUCAAAGGAAUUGACGGGG
rnacentral:rRNA from 1 species